GGAGUGUAUAUGGAAUCAAUCGUUCAGCUCUCAAAGCAAUGAAAUCGUAUGCUUUGUGUUGCAAUUUAAUGUGUUUAGAGAAGUUAAUGGAAAACCCCAAAAUAAGUUUUCUGCAGAUGCCUCGGUGUGAUGACAAUCUUAGCAUGCAGUGCUUGUGGUUCCAUUUGUACGAUAUAAUACAAGGAAAAAUGUUGGCACAUAAACAGCUAAUGCGUCACACGAGAUUAGGGCUGAAUGUUGCUUGCCAAUGAGAAAACACUGAGAGAACAACAAAAACAACCACAUUUCUCAAACGUGUUAACCACUGCUUACGUUUCAGAUUCAUCACGCCGCCUCCGCCUGUCAGAAUAACGGCCACGAAAGUCAGCCUUCAGCUAAAACAAUGAAGGAGGGCAAAGCAAAUUCAGACACCCAAUGAAAAGACCUUUGACGCCUCGAACAAUGGAUGGUCUUGUUUGAUGUGCAGUCACAUUUACAGUACCAGCAUUUUCAUCUGCCCGGCUUUCAGCUGUUUAGAGCACAUCGCAACGCAGAAUCAAUGGGGAAAUCGCGCUGCGGCAGGACAUGUUUUUACAUCAACGAAAGGUGGUGUACAGAUGUAACAAUGUUAAAGAAGAUGUGCUGUAAAACUGCAUUUUUCCAUCUCAAAAAUAUAUCUAAAUUACAGCCUAUGGUCUCAAUGUCAAAUGCAGAAAUGUUAAUCCAUGCGUUUAUGACCUCAAGGUUAGAUUAGUGUAAUGCUUUACUGGGUGGUUGUUCUGCACGCUUCAUUAACAAACUCCAGUUAGUCCAAAAUGCAGCAGCUAGAGUUCUAACUAGAACCAGGUAGUAUGACCAUAUUAGCCCGGUUCUGUCAACACUGCACUGGCUCCCUAUCAAACAUCGUAUAGAUUUUAAAAUCUUGUUUAUUACUUAUAAAGCCCUGAAUGGUUUAGCACCUCAGUAUUUGAACGAGCUCUUGUUACAUUAUAGUCCUCCAUGUCUGCUGUGUUCUCAAACUCUGGCAAUUUGAUAAUACCUAGAAUAUCAAAGUGAACUGUGGGUGCCAGAUUCUUUUCCUAUUUAGCGCCUAAACUCUGGAAUAACCUACCUAACAUUGUUCGGGAGGCAGACACACUCUUAAAUCUAGAUUAAAGACCUAUCUCUUUAACCAGGCUUACACAUAACACACUAAUACGCUUCUAAUAUCCAAAUCCGUUAAAGGAUUUUUAGGCUGCAUUAAUUAGGUAAACCGGAACCGGGAACACUUCCCAUAA
ensembl:lncRNA